AGAUGUGAGGACAAUUUGGCUGUGACAUCUGUCACGCCAUUGAUUGCCAGGGUUGAUUUGGCUGAUCUGGCUGGCUAGGCUGGUGUCCCCUUCAACUUCACAACCCCAUGUGUGUCCCUCCUGAAGCUGCAUGCUGAUCAAAGAGGAUGACCAUCCCCAUAAAAAAGGACCAGUCUUCAGUCAAGGGUAUAUGAGUAGCUGCCCUCCCCUCCUGGAACCUCAAAGCUCUCAAAUACUUGGUGAUUCUUAAGAUACAAGGAGCUGGCUGGGCGCGGUGGCUCAAGCCUAUAAUCCCAGCACUUUGGGAGGCGCAAGCGGCUGGAUCACGAG
rnacentral:snRNA from 1 species